rnacentral:tRNA from 1 species
GGUUUGGCUCAGUUUGGUAGAGCACCUGGUUUGGGACCAGGGGGCCACAGGUUCAAAUCCUGUAAC